AAGGCUCAAUACAUCCAUCAUCUGCUAUAUAUAUAUAUAUAUAUAUACACACACACACACACUCACACACCCCUCUUUCUUCAUCUUCAUCUUCUGGUUUUAGGGUUUUGUGGCAUAGAAGGAUGAGUGAUCCCAAGUAUGGCUAUCCCUACCCAGCUCAAGGGUAUUAUCUAGGGCCCCCAGUGAUGGCACCCCCCCCAGUAUGUUGCUCCUCCCCCACCUCCAAGAAGAGAGCCUGGUUUUCUUGAAGGAUGCCCUCUGUUGCUGCUGCCGCCUGGAUGAAUGCUGCUGUGACCCCUCAAGUCUUUUGUGUGUUCUAGCUGCUCAUUCUGCCCAUUUUAGUGUUUUUUUUUUUUUUUUUUGGGUUU